AAAUAAAAAUCGAUGUCGUUGUCACCAUAUAACGCGUCGGAAUUGAGUCGUCUUACCUUCGGUUAAGUGACUUAAAAUUUUUACGCGAAUUCGAAACGUAUUUAAUGUUUAUGUACGUUUGCGAUAUUCCAAUUUAUUAGGUGCGAUCAUUCCUAUGAUACGCGUCUAUAAUUUUUCAUU
rnacentral:misc_RNA from 1 species